UUCAAUACACUGGAGUAUGCAAAGUGCUUCAAUAAACUUUUCAUUAGAAGUACCAGUGAAACUAAGAGGAAGCUUUAGCCCAAACGAGAGCUGACCUCAGCUCAUACCUGUUCUGAAGUUUUUUAACAUCUUAAAAGAACUAUCACACCUUGGCAUUGAUUUCUGGCAAGACUGAAAGCAGGAGUCCACAAACAGCUUGAAAAGAUUGGGUUUAUGAUGCUCUUGACCCAGGAGAAACCUGCUCUCAUGGGAGCCAUGGGCUAAAGCAGUCUGGAUGUAGCAUGCUCUGAGUUUAGGAAUUUUUCUAAACUGGACUAUUCAAAGUGUUGGAGGUUUUUAAAAAGCCCAAAAUCUUCUCAGCUUCUCACACCAGAGAACAGAUUACAGGCAGAAGUCUCCAGACAAAUCUGAAGAUGGAUUUCACUGCAGCGUCUCUUUCAUACUCUGGCUGAAGUCUGCUGACUGACACCAAGAAUGCAAAUAUACAGUGGAAGGGGUCUCUCUUUAUUCCUAAGCUAUCUAAAUCCAUUUGGUGUUUGAGGUGUGGUGGUGUAUUUCCUGGGAACUUCAUUUCUUUCUAUUACCCUCCUGACAAAAGUAACUGAUCCCUUUGGAGCUCGCAAAGGAAGAUGUGUCCCACGGAGCUAAUGUUGUGUGUGCUACAUGAGGAAAAGAUGUGUUUAACAAAGAUGAGAAAUUAUGGAUCAAAUAAUGCUGUGGAAGCCACUCUCACAAACAAUGAAGAUCAUUCUGGAUGCACUCCAAAUAUCAUUACUAUUGUUUAAUUUCAACUCCAGUCCUGCAUCUGCUUAAGAUAGUGUCGAAGAUGCUAAUCUCACCAGACAGACACAAAACACGAAACUGAAAUGAUAUUGCUCCAUUAGUUUAUUUAGAAGUGGUGUGAAACUCCUGGUUUUGUCUGAAUCAUGCAGGAGAGCUGUGAUUUUUACCUUUCAACUCCCCUGAAAAUGCAGCAGUUUAGCAUCGGCGCCUAUUCCUUUCCAGAUUACGCUACAUGAAUGAGUUUGAUCGGAGUCACCAUGGUGAGGAAAAGAUAAUGGAAUUUCAGGUAUUGGUCAAUAUGAAUGGAAUAUAAACUGUUUUCUGAGCUGACCCAGCAUCCAGCUUCCCUCAUUCAUACAGCUGUAGCUUCCAGGCAAUUGUCAGUUCUGGAAGGGUUACAAGUACACAAGUGUUCUUCCGUGCUUCAGAGAGAAGGAAGAUGGAAUAGAGGUGUGACAUACAAGAGUGUGGAUAAGAGACUGCCUUUUUUUACUCACAGUUCACCUGGAAAAGGUCAUCGCAGUAGAAGAUUAAGACACUGACACAAGCUUGCGAUCAGGAUCUGCACACCGCAGAGGUGUGUGAGGGGUGAGCUAAGGAUGCUGAGGGAAAGUCCAGCCCGAAGUAGUUUGUUCUCAUUUCUCUGAGCAACCAGCAUCAUUGGAAGGAAAUAGCUGGCAAAAUAAAGGGCUCUUACCUCAUAUAUGCAUCUUUUUAAAAAGACCCUAUAUUUACUUGUUAGUAAAUGUUUACAAGUCCAUCAUUCGUCCCAUCAUUAUGCGACAUAAGGAACAUAUUUUAUUAAAAAUAGAGAGAGAUGCUGUGGGGAUUGACACAUCCUUUUUUAAUCCUUAUGCUCAGACAAACUCUUCAGCCUCAGAGAAAAGGUCCUUGACUCUGGUCUAAAAUACUGUCCAGUGCUUAUGGGGUGUAGUAAUACGAAAAUCAUCAGACCUGUCCUUGGCAGAAUGUUUCUUUCCAUUAGUUGAUUAAAAUGGUUUAUUGUUGCCUACAGCACCGUUGCUUUAUAUGUAUUUUUGUUACUCAGGGCAGAUGUGCCCAUGUCUUGCACUGCUUCUCUUUGUGUGGUUUUUGAUGAAUACAGAAGUGAAAUCACUACCUGGGCAGAUCCCCCUCUCCAGGAAGAGGGGAAGGAGGGAAAGGUGAGGGGCUCAGUGAUGGAGCUGGGGUACUGGUUGCACAGGGAGCAACAGGGGAAGGCAGCACUUGUGUUGCAUCAAGAUGAAAACCUUCCCUAUCCUUCUGCUAUUACAAAGAAAACAGGAAAAGUCCAAGUCUUCAGGGUGAAUCUGAUGUUUCUUUGUUUUCUUGUUCCACUCAUGUUUGAUGGGGGAGCUGAAAUCUCAAUACAAAUGCUAUUUCCAAGUCCAGCGUCAUUUCGAGCAGUAGCUUUGACACAAGUACCUUUCCAUCCCCGCCCCCAGCACAGAUUUUUCCAAGGCAUGUUGUCAUGUAAUAGUAAUAUGGUCUUUCAUUACAGAGUCACAAAUCAUUGGGCAUGUGAUCUUAUGCUCAAUAAAUAUUUAUUUGAGAAUGAUAGGUUAAUUAAUUUCCAUUGUUUCUGGUUUAAUUCUAUACAUGCCUAUACUAUACAAUUAGAGAAAAACACAGAGAACCACGAGUAAAUGCUACUCAUGCAAAAUGUUUCUAUUAUCCUUUACUUUUAAAACCAUUAAUAGAUUAUUAUGAGAUAUAAACAUAGGAGACCAUGGAUCAUAUUUGCAUGUUAAUGAAAUCCAUGAAUUAUACAUUAUUUGCUGUGGAGAGUACUAGAAACAGUAUUCCUCCUUUCUAAUAGCUGUAAAAGCUGACGGUUUCCUGGAGCACACAUCACAUCCCCUCUGCAAUACCUUCUAAUAGAAAAGAAAGAAAUCCAGCUCUUCAAAGCAAUCUCUCUCUAAAUGAAAUAGAUUUGUUUGUGUUGCUUUGCAACACACCAAUGUGACAGUUCAUUUUUAAACAAAAUAGUUUUAAUAAUGUCAUUACUAAUAUCUAUUUGGUCAUCUCACUGAAAAAUGGUCUUUUAAUAGGAAUGUUUCAUUUUAAUAAAUGGCAGAAGAGGCAAGCUCUGCCCUGAGUCAGCAGGAAGUGGAUAUACACCAGAGAACAGGCUGAUUGUGUUAGAUUCAUCCAGAACAUUGAACAGCACACAGACAGUCCAAGAAAAAGCAACUGCCUUUAUUCAAAUGAUUAGUCUUACUGCUACACUGUAGCACAGAUUCACACAUUCUUCUAUUAUUCCUUGACCUUGUGCCAAAACCUCCCACUUGAAGUAAUAAUUAGAAUUAGUGUUUCCAGUGCAUGCUUCCAUCUUCCUCACAAACAGUAAUGAAAUGUGGCUUUUACAAAAUAUGCAGUUAAUUAAACUGGUUUUUGGAGCAUUGUUUGAUUAAUACAGUUCCCCUGUGCAAGCCCCUCAUUAUGCCCAGCUACCUCUACCUGAUAUUGGUGAGAAGGAGGAAAAACACCAUCGAUAGGAUGAGUGAAAGUUCAGAAAUAUGCACUUUAAAAUUGCUUGUGGGGUUGGGUUUUUUUUUCCUUCUUGUUUUGUCUCUGUCAUGGAAUAAACUGGAAAAUUGGCCAUUA